ACUGUAUUUGUUAUCCUUUCCUACUGGUUACUCGACUCUGUCCUUUACUGGAUGGAGUAGUAUCGCAAGGUAUCGCUUGGUGUUAUGUUGCCUCUGAUCGUAGUAGUUGGGUAAAACUGGCUGUGAAAAUGAGGGGAUCACAAUAUAAUAUUAAGUGGGGUUCCAGUUCAUUUACUUUGAGUAAAUUAGAGUGUUCAAAGCAGCCUCUUGGGGCAUUGAAUAGAUUAGCAUGGGAUAAUAGAAUAGGACUUUUGUCUUUUUAUUGGUUUAAAGAUUAAAGGUAAUGAUUAAUAGGGAUAGUUGGGGGCACUUGUAUUCAAUAGUCAGAGGUGAAAUUCUAGGAUUUAUUGAAGACAAACUUCAGCGAAAGCAUUUGCCAAGGAUGUUUUCAUUAAUCAAGAACGAAAGUUAGGGGAUCGAAGACGAUUAGACACCGUCGUAGUCUUAACUAUAAACUAUGCCGACCAGGGAUAUGAAGAUCUUCAUUUAUAUUAUUGAUUUAAUAUAAUUCUUUGUGCACCUUGUGAGAAAUCAUAAGUUUUUGGGUUCUGGGGGGAGUAUGGUCGCAAGGCUGAAACUUAAAGGAAUUGACGGAGGGGCACCACCAGGAGUGGAGCCUGCGGCUUAAUUUGACCCAACACGGGAAAACUUACCAGGUCCAGACAUUAGAAGGAUUGACAGGUUGAUAGCCCUUUCUUGAUUUAAUGGGUGGUGGUGCAUGGCCGUUCUUAGUUGGUGGAGUGAUUUGUCUGGUUAAUUCCGAUGACGAACGAGACCUCUGCCUUUAAAUAGAGAUGAUUAUAUGAAAGUAUAAUUAGCAAAAACUCUUCUUAAAGGGACUUUUGGUUUUUAAUCCAAAGGAAGUUUGAGGCAAUAACAGGUCUGUGAUGCCCUUAGAUGUUCUGGGCCGCACGCGCGCUACACUGACAAGUUCAAAGAGUAUAUUUAUUUAGUCCUUCUCUGAAAAGAGUGGGUAAUCUUUUAAAGCUUGUCGUGAUGGGGAUAGAUGAUUGCAAUUAUUCAUCUUGAACGAGGAAUUCCUAGUAAGCGUAAGUCAUCAGCUUACGUUGAUUACGUCCCUGCCCCUUGUACACACCGCCCGUCGCUACUACCGAUUGGAUGAUCCGGUGAAAUCUCUGGAUUGCGAUAAAAUACUAAGGGAAACUUUAGUUUUAUUGUAAGAAGUUGAGUAAACCUUAUCAUCU
rnacentral:rRNA from 1 species